CUGGGCCUCCCAGAGAGCAGAGGCGGUGUGGCACCCAGGUGGCAAGGCAGAGUGCAAGAUGAUCCCUGGCUACCGAACACAUCCUCUUAGCAACCGUUCCGGAAAGUCAGCCUGAAAAGGAGGCGCAAAAUAGGAGAGCUGAAGGGUGUAGGUCGGGUCCGAGGUGGGGGCUCUGGGGGAGGCGGAGACACGCCUCCUGGGAGGAAGCGGGUGCUGCCCGCCAGGCUGGGGUGCAGCUGCGUCCUGCAUCAGAGGAUCCCGCGUGGGGCCGGGGCCGGCGAAGCAGGGAAAAGCGGACACUCUGAAGGAACCCGCAGCCUUGGACAGGCAGCUUCACCUGUGACCGCACCUGGCCAAAGAUGUAGACAGAACAUUCAGAAGACAAAAGGCAGGAUCCACCUGGCCUGCUGGGAGAGAGACCAGCUGUGGGGUGGCCAGGACAGCGUGAGGACUGCUGGGUCGUGCUCAAUGCUGUGGACAUCAGAGACCCGACCAGGGGAGGUACCACCUCACAGCUGCCAGAACAACCUCAUCAGAAAGACGGGAGGACAAGUGCCAUGCGGAGGCAGAAAAAGGGAGCCCCCGUGCAGUGUUGGCAGGAAUGUAAAUCCGUGCAGCCACUAUGGAAACAGUAAGGCAAUGCCUCAAAAACCUAACGACUGCCGUGUGAUCCAGGAAUUCCAUUUCUGGGCGUUUUCCAGAAAAAAAAAAAAAGAACAUUAAUUCAUAAAAAUAAAGUACCCUAUGUUAAACUGCA